rfam:Clonorchis sinensis DNA, contig: CSINDRAFTv2.0_contig_4173.
AACCCGGCUGAUCAGGCUGUUGCUCAUUUGCCUUACUCAGAGGUUGAGUCGUGUGUGUUAAGUGUAAACCUUUCAAAUGCGAAGUUCUGAAGCGCACUUUGGAAGAGCUAUGGGUACUAAGACUAUACAUACACAGAUUAAAAAAGAAUCAACCGGCAGUGCUUUCGGUCAAUGUUGCUGCAUUCAUUAACGGCUCCGGAUAAUUCUGUUGAUCGCGGUCAGCCUCACGUUGACUACACACUUCCAACUCUUUUCCUUGAUUAUUUUUGACGGUACAUAAAUUGCCUGGGCUGGUAAUCAGGGUUUGACUCCCAAGAUGGAGCCUCAGAAAUGAUGGCCACUUCCAAGGAAUGAAUCUCAAACUACCCAGCAUUGGUGAGAUAAGUAGACGACAGGAAAGUCGGUUACGGCACUCACUACAAUCUCCACGUUUGAGAAUCCUCUAACGAGGAUUAACCGCGUGAUGGUCCCAAUAGCCCUGGUGGUUCUAGCUCCAGAAAUGUUCAUAAAUAGCUGCUGUAGUUUAAAAUCUUUUAUUUAGGCCUGGGUCGCAUGGCUGUAUGACACGCCGCGCGUAUUUCUAGCCUAUUUGAUAGAGUUUUUCAGUCGGCGUUUUGUUCUGGCAGGUAAUCUUUUCGAAGGAUUCUUACAGCUAAUCUGCUGGCGUGCCUCUGGCUAUCUUUAGCCUGAUGGAAUUGAAGGAAUGCACAAUUUGAACAGUUCAUAUGUUGGAAGCUGACCGGUUUGCUAGAACAAUGCAAUAAACUCUCACUUCUUUUGUUGGUUUCCGGAUCCAAAGCAUUAGUUGAAAGGAACCGAUAGGAGCAUUUUUGUGAUGGUUCUUAGAUGAGAUCCACAGUGGAGGCAUUCUCAAAAUCUGUCUUUAUUGAUCUGGGACAGAAUUCAUAGGUUGAAAAAGCUGUGAUUCCGUCCUAGCUCUGAACGUAGGCGAUACCAUCUGAUGAUCCGUGAUCUCACUAGUAUCAUCCUCCGCUCUCUCCGUGAAACCUCCAAUUCUCUAGGCUUUCAUGGGAAAUAUGAGUGCAAAAUUAAAGCCUAAAAAAACUGACAGAAGGACAUUAUCAGACAAAAAGCCUACUUCCUACUUCGAUUCAUUACGGGAAGUCAAACUCGGCCCGGCUACUGUGCGAACUGAAGGACUGGAAAUUCUCUGUUGCUCCGGUGUUUGAUUGUAUUUGGCUCAUCUUAACUGCUGGGAAAACGAGCAAGACUUUGGCCUAUCUAGUAGCACGCAUGUUCUCGGUGCACAUACAAGUAGCCUUGCCGAUUAUUUCUACGCGCCGGCGUCGUUUGAAUGGACAAGUUACUGAACAAGGUGCAAGCUGCACAGAGUUGAAUGCUAGCGAAUCUAAGAUGUCCCCAAAGUCUGGGAUGGCAUGUGCGUUACAAGGAAGAUUCCAUGAUAUUUUGGAUCCUAACCCGAAAGGACUGUGCGAAAUGAAGCAUAACCGACGUGACCGGGAUCAGGAUUUGUAACUAUUUCCCAUGAACAAUGAAUUAAUCGUAAACGCAUGCCAUAGGCUUUUCUUUAUCACGCCCAUGUUAUUUGUACAAACAGGCUAUUGCUAAUAA